rnacentral:rRNA from 1 species
GUGCCAGCAGCCGCGGUAAUACGUAGGUGGCAAGCGUUAUCCGGAAUUAUUGGGCGUAAAGCGCGCGCAGGCGGUUUCUUAAGUCUGAUGUGAAAGCCCACGGCUCAACCGUGGAGGGUCAUUGGAAACUGGGAGACUUGAGUGCAGAAGAGGAGAGUGGAAUUCCACGUGUAGCGGUGAAAUGCGUAGAGAUGUGGAGGAACACCAGUGGCGAAGGCGACUCUCUGGUCUGUAACUGACGCUGAGGCGCGAAAGCGUGGGGAGCAAACAGGAUUAGAUACCCUGGUAGUCC